AUGCCAACCACGAAGGGAACCGGUGCGCCUGGCAGCCCACGUGGGCAGCGUUACCGACCAGCCUCAGAGUUUGACGAUGCCACACUUGCCCAGAAGAGAGAGUACUGGAGGAACAAAAAACGAGAGCAACGGGCCAAGCUGUCAGAGGUCAAGAGGGAGAGGUCAAAAGCAGCAAACAGAGGGAGUAAAUCCUCGGGCGGCAAUGUAGUUGUUAACUCAGUGCCAUUCAAUUCCAGUGGCUCUUGUUCAAUGACAAGGUCUGCUCCCCCAUUGUUGAAUAGCGAUGGUUCCUACCAAAAUGAUGUUUGUGGUGCACCAGUAGUCUUACUGAAAGGAAAGGGUUCUGCUGUCUCCUAUCAUCAGAACUAUACUGUUGGAGAGGGUGAGCAAAACUCUUCCUCAGCAAACCAAAAGGAGAGGUGGUUUCAGAGGAUAAAACUCAACAAAGUUUUACCACAGUUCCAAACGUCUGGCGCAGAUCAAGAGAAAGGUGCAAUGGUGUGCCAGAUGGUCGUAAAAAGUUCGCCAACGGGGGACGCCGUGAUCGGAGACGUUACCUCAGCCAAACCCAAUGGAGUGCUGCUAAACUGCGGCUCUUCUGCAUCUCCGGGAAGCGUGGCGACGAGACCCUCUGGUUCGGCACCUGGCAAGCUGCAGGGCGGAGUGACUCUCUUCAAUGGCAGCUCCUCUGUAGUGUCAACGGAGCCGCAUCUGGCAACCCCAGGUGAAUCAACACCCGAUGCGUCAACUAAUGCAGUGCAUGUGCAGCACAGGCCGCUGACCGCUAAUUCUGCCACAGGGACUAGCCAGUCUACCCCUAACCUUAUUCACAAACCAGGGGGUAGGCCUAGAGGGAUGAAAGUAACACCGCUAGUUGGGAAAAAUAGUGCCUUGGCAGCGGCACAAGGGGUUAGAAGCAUCAACGACACACCAGCCUCUCUGGAGACUGAGGAGGAGAGAGCUGCCAAGCGCAGGGAGAAUUGGCGCAUCAAGAAGAGGGAACAGAGAGCGAAGCAGGCGGCUAGCUUAAAGAAGGCCAGUGAGAGGAUCAGGAGCAUGGAUGUGUCGUUGCAGAAAGCACCGCAGUUACCCAGCAUGGUCGUGGCACGUCCCCCUUCUGCUUUGACCGGACAGGGCCAGAGGCAAUGCGUCAAUAGGGCCAGGGCCCCGUUCACCUCAGCCGGACGCCUGCUGAAGAAUGCCAGAGCCGUGGCAACCGUUGCGGUCAAAAGGGAAUCUGAGGAUUCGACCCUGGCAAAGCUAGCAGCAGUUGACGCUAAUGGACCAACUGUACAGCUUAAACUACAAAAUCUGCAGGAGGCUAACGCGACGAUGCAGACUCGUAUUGCAUCUAAUAUAAUUGGUUAUAAACCAGCAGGGGAACCAAUCACAAGCCUCCCGGGUCCGGUGCCGUUUGCAAACACUAGCCGAGGGUUGGUCCGUUGUAGAACUCCGAGGCAGAGGUUCAUUGAAACCCAAAGAAAUUUACUGGGUCAGAGGAACAUGAGAAAGUUCCCGUGUCACGCCGCAGCCUUCACAGCCCACAGUGCACCCCAAGAUGACCCAAUGGAGACGCCCGAGCAGUUGGCGGCCAGGAAGCGGGAGUACUGGCGUGUCAAGAAGCGGGAACAGCGUGCCAAGCUGUCAGUGGAAGUAAGGGCUAAGAUGAAGGAGAGGGAUGGUCUGCUACGAAGAGUCAAGCGUUACCAGAGCAUACUGGAGGAUAUGAGGAAGGCCAGAGUGGCGGGCUGCAACACGCUGUCACAACCGCCAGGAAAUAGGCCUACCCAUACUAGCGCCUCAGAGACCAUAGGAGGUUUCAUCAAGGAAGACGGUACAUUGACCAAUAAAAUUCCCCAAAUUGAUCUCACUACAGAAGUGAAAGACACCGGAGGGAUGCGCGUUAAUAAUUCAUUCGCCAACACGCACCACCAACAUCAGCUGCUUCCCAAUGUACCUGGGGAUGCCUCUAGCAAUGUGUUGUUGAGUCACCCAAUACGAGUUAACCCGCCACCUUUAAUCCGUCCCGCUCAGGUCAAAGUCUCCUGUCCUCCGAUCGGCCUGUCACUCGCCAAACCUCCCAGGUUAGUAUCAAUAAAACCAAGGACUGAUUUCCGUGCCGCUCCAAAUUCACACCCAGUUAUCCAGCCCCAGAGUCAUAUUACCCUCACACACCCUCAAAACACUCAAAACCCCUUUCCUGGUGUGCCUAAAGCAAUGCCACAUUCAGCUAGCUGCGUCAUGAAGAUGGCCGUCAAAACCUCUAACGUCUCCACUGUGCUGAACUUGGACCCGAAGCUAACAGAGGAGGAAAGGAUGGCUAAGAAGAGGGAGUACUGGAGGGUGAAGAAACGAGAGCAGAGGGCAGCCCGCGCCAAUCGGCUACGGCAAGGAGCUCAAGCCAGGGGAAAUGCUGCCUCGCAGAAGAGGCGAAACCAGAGGUUAGCGCGAUUAUCUACGGCCAGUCCCAAUGUCAACAACUCUGUGAAUAACAUGCCGACUAUCAAGCCUCUUUCAAAUACCAGCGUGUCCGUGCCUCCGCAGGGACACAAUAUCAAACAAGAGAGAGACUCGACCUCAGUAGACCAACCAUGUCCUCUGCAGGAACUGGAAUGUGUAGACGUCAAACCGCCGCCGCCACCACCGCCGCCACCACCUGAGCCACAACUGAGUGAGCCGGCAGACCUGGCGUUGAGUGCCGACAGCCAGGCUACCACUCUCCUGGCGGUGGCCUCUAUGAAGAAGCUCCUGGAGGAAUCGCUGAGCACCGUGGCCGACUGUAAAACAGAGCAGCCCGACUGCAUGGCGGAACAGCUGCCUUGUAAAACGGAGCCUCAAGCCUACCCUUCUGAGGAGGCGCAUGUCCAAAUGGAGGUCAAGCCAAAUCUACCUCUGCUCACCCUGGGAGACGAGGAGAAGGUUUCCCUAUCUGCUGAUCUGUCAUUGGAGGUCAAAGGGUGGCAGGUGGAUGCUGACUCCCUCCCGCCAUGUCAGGUGGCAUUUCAUCCACUGAGCCCCAACCCAAAAUACUCUCCCCUGUCCAAUGGCACUGAGACCCCCUCUUUCCCGGCCCCUGCUCACGAGCCCCAGUCUCAUUCACCCGUACACUCCCACGCGGCGGCCUCUGGAGAACCUCUCCUCCCAUACCCUCGCAGAGCCCAGAGGCUGCGUGAUAAGAAAACCGGUCACCACCAUUGCUGCUCUCCAGAACCCCCCAAGUUACACCACCAUGCUCCACAACAACAACAACAACAACCACCACCUCAUCAACAAGACCAGUAUCAACUGCUACAACAUCAACAGACAACCCGGCAGCAACAGCAGCAUCACCACGCCCCGGCGGCAGCAGACCACAGUGUGACUCUGCAGAAGAGGGAGUACUGGAGGAUAAUGAAGAGGCAGCAGAGAGCCAGGAAGGCCCGGCAGGGAGGAGGGGGGCUCAGGCAGGGGGACUACAGUAGACGACUGGCCCUCAAAGCAGCACAGGCCCCAAGCCUCUUCAUCGUCAAGACACAGACACAGAGGCCCGGGCAGAAAAGUGGGAGCUUCAGUCUUCAAGCACCGCCGUUGCUCAGUCCACAGCCUUCCCCGCUUCUCCGGCCCAUUUCCCCUCCUGCCUCUGGACCCCAGGAAACCCACUGCGCAGUCCCAAACGUCCCGUCCCUUCUGGUCGUGAGCCCCACCCGCUCCGACACGGGACAUCGCUCCGAUGCACUGCAGCUCAGACCUCUGGUUAACUACGCCGCCAUCUCGCGUUCGCCGACUGGUCACACGGAUUCCCCGCAGACAUCGCAUGGCUUUAGUACCGUGUCCCUGCCUGUAGAAGAGGAGGUUGACGGCCCUCCAUUGGGCGAGGGGAAGAACGGCGGGCUGCUGUUAGUGGAGAGCCAACCGGAGGCGGUCCCGGGAUCCAGCCCUGAUUCGCCGCGGGUUAGAAAAUGGCGACUGCAAGUACAGGAAACCGCAGACGCCGACACAUCGCCUAUAGCCACUCUCAGUCCACCGCCCAACCCUCUGACCAGCAUCAAGCUGUUACCCAUCCAUCCACCCGGUCAGGCGUCUUCUUUCACACCAACGCAGGCUCCUUUCAUCCGUCACAGUGCUGAGAUUUGCCAAAGUGGGAGUGAUCAAAAUGUGCAGUCUUCUUCAACACAGGGGCUAGUCACAAGUCCCAUCUACGUGAGCUCCAUGGGUCCGCCCAAGCCGGUGCCGGGAGAAUCGGAAGAGGAGACCCUGAGGAAGAAACGGGAGUACUGGAGGGUGAAGAAGAAGGAGCAGAGGGCCAGGAAGGCCAUGAGGGACAGGGAGCUGACGGAGAAGAGGGCGUCGGUCAACUGGAGGCCCAUCCUCCCCAGCGGUCAGACGGACCUGCUGCACGGGAUGGACACACAGGUAAUGUUUUUCAGCACUGAAUGUCUGAAAGAAAAGUCGUUUGCAAGUCAGAAGUGUGUAUUUAAAUGUUAUGAUUUAUAUGAUCAUUCUAAUGCUGAUGAUAAUGCAUUGGUACGACCGGCUGAUGGUCCUUCCCUGGGAAACAUGCGUUUGCUUUUAGUUCUGUUAGUUGAAUUAAAAUAACUAACUCUCUCUUCUCACCAAAGGAACAGGAUCCUGACCAUUGGCUUAAUACAGCAGAGGACUCUGAACUUCUAAGGUGAGCAACGCAUUUUCAGGCUUCUCAUACUUCACAGUGAGUGAAUUAGUAGUCCAAUACUGUAAUGUCUUUCUUGUCUCCCACGUAGUACUUCCACAGAGACAGACAUGGGCUACUUCCCUGACUCAAGCCAUAUGGAACCUUUAGAAGGUAAUGCUUGUCAUAUUUAUAGAUCUUAUAUGGUCUUAAUUCUACUACAGCCUUUCUUAUUGCAAUAGGCCUUUGUUAGAGUGUGUUGAAGUUUAAAAUCUUUCAAAAAUAAGGCCAAAUGUUUGUGUACAUAUUUUGUACCCAUAGCUAGUGAAAUGUCAUCAUGGGCUAGCAGAAAUUACAGUUAAACCCCCCCCCCCCACACACACACACCCCAGACGAAUCAGAGCUUCUUCACCCGGACGACGGCACCGGUGACGGCUACAACGCCCCGUUCUCGGACACCGUCUGGAGGAACCGCUACCUCAUGGACUACGACCCGCUGAACCAGCUGCUGGUGUGCAUGGUGUGUGGGGACCUCCAGUACUCCCACAGCCUGGAGGGAGUGCGGGCCCACAUCGAAGACGCCCACCCGGACACGCUGAGCCUGGACGCUCCCGAGCACCACCGCAUCCUGGAGGCCUGGGACGAGCAGGUGUCCAGGAGGGAGCGCUUCUUCACCAGCCAGCUGCAGCAGCACAGCGGUGCGAUGGGAGGUGAUUAUGCCGUUCUUCAGUCUGUUGCAUGUUAGAGGGGCCACAGGUUCCUUUCUGGUCAGGGAAUGCCCCUGGCCCUGGGGGCCCUUUAGAAAUUAAGGUUUGUGAUGUACUGUUGUGAUGUACUGUAUCGUUGCACAUUGCGUUUUCAGUGGACAGUGCCAGCCUCCCAGCCGAAGUGGAAGUCAUGGUUGACACGGAGGAAGCGGCGUACGCGGCGAACAGCAAGAGCUCCAAAGCCAAACCCACGAGGAGACUGUGAGAGCAAAGGUGAGGUGUCAAGCCUUUGUACGUUACCUGGGUCAUAUUGUUGAUCGCUGCCCUCUGCAUUCUACAGGGUGGUCCUGUGUCUGAAGGAACAUGUUAUUACAGGAAUAUCUGACAUUGUUUGACCACUUCCUGUCUUCUGUUUGUGUGUCUUAAUUUGCAGAAGCACAAAUGGCUGUAAGAUGGCCCACAUAGCGUGGCAUUGGAAGAUAGUUUUGGCAAGUAGAAGAGGAAGAGAACCUAACUGCUGGUUCCUUGCUUUAGAGUGUGUGUUUUCUACAGAGCAGUUCAUAGCUACAACGGAUGGACUCCUCUUGAACUGUGUACCAGUGUAAGGGACCGUGAACCACAAGUGACACGUUUUACCUCAUUAACUUUGGGAUACAUGCACAGACGCUUUUGAAAACGCUGUUUUAUAGUGAUCGUGAUUCACUACUACAACCCCCCCCCCCCCCCCCCAAACAAAACGUUAACAUGUUCGUGAGGGAUGAUAAUGGCUUCUAUUGUCUUUGGGCUGAAGCACAGUCCGGGUUCUCCCUAAGCCAACAGCGAUGGGUUAACUUCAACCUGUGGUGUAUGUGGCCAUGACAAACGAGUCAGUAGUGGUCCGCAACCUGAAUCGAUGGCAUGUCUUUGGGUUUUAUUCAUCAGUGUAUCAGGAUCAAUAUGGGUGAUCAGUUGUUCUGUGAUUGAUAUUUGUCUGUACAUACAGUGCAUUUUAUAAUUUUGGUUAAUAGUACAUAAUUUAAUAUUUCUCACCGUUCCCAGUAGGUUCUGUACUGAGUUAAGAAUAAUUUGUUAUUCAGGUUUAAGAUGUCCGUUUAAAAAAGACUAAAUCACAAGGGACAUACUUGCAUGAUGGUAUAUUCAAAAUGUGCCCUAUAAAGUACUGAUUUUUCUUUUUGUUUAUGCACCAUACCUGUAACACUGAAUUAAAAUUAUAUAUAUAUAUAUUCUGGCACAUUUCAAAACAAAAUCAGUUUUCUUAAACCAUUGUACUGGAAUGUAAAAUAAGGUUCUUCCUUUUUAAAAGUUUUUUUUUGCAAUAGUGAUUUAUGAGAAAUGUAUUUCUGCACUGUAAAUACAACAUAAUAUUUAUGUUUAAAGGGGUGGUGAAAUACCAAUGCCCUUUUAAUGUAUUAUUUCAUUACCUAUGAAAAAUAAGCUUAUCACUUUAUGGUUGCUCACAUUGUUUCUGAUCUGAUUCAUAUUUCGUAGUAGUCUACAGAUACUGUGUACAUUAACUCUUUAAAUGUCUUUCUUUAGUCUCAACAGUCAGUGGCACAAACACUGUGUUAAUGUCAAAAACAAUCAAUUAUCAGCUUUUUUUUUUUAAAUUUAAUUUUCUAUUUCUUUAUAACUCCAGAAAACCUGAAAAGAUCCAAUGGCCUGCUGGGAUGUUUAACAUUUUAUAUACUACCUAUAUAUGUAUCAGAUAUCAUGUGUAAGAUAUUUUUUAUUAUUUUUUGGUUCACCAGUAUGAAGAGGAAAAUGGAAAAAAAAAAAAUAAUACAAUAGAGCACAAAGCUUUGGAAGCCAGCCUUCUGUUUUCUUAAGAGACUGAAAAUGCAUUUAAAACAGGACGUACUGUGGUUGCGCCCUUAUACAGGUGUAACAGGAUCUAAAGGUGGAGGGACACUGACCAAGCUGUACCAUUUUACCUGAUUAGAUUGUACCUCUAAAUUGGUUCCCAUCUUGUUUCUGUUUAAAUGGAAUGUUCCAAUGCGUUUCCAGUAACCAAUAAACCCUUUUUUGUACCUUUUUAAAGUUGUUCUAUGAUUCCCUGUGAUGUGGUACAAUGAUAAAGUGUAAAUGAGGACAUGUCUUUUCCUGUAUGGUUUAAAAUCAACAAUGUGCGUAAUUCACUAUCAAUCAAACCAGGCUCGCAGGGGUCACUAACCAGUUUG
rnacentral:lncRNA from 1 species